GACGAACCGUGCAAACGUUGUUCGGAAUCACUGGGCUUAAAGGGUGCGUAGGCGGAUUGGCAGGUCAGUGGUGAAAGACCUCGGCUCAACCGGGGAAGUGCCGUUGAAACCGCCAGUCUGGAGUGAGGUAGGGGCACGUGGAACUUCCAGUGGAGCGGUGAAAUGCGUAGAGAUUGGAAGGAACGCCGGUGGCGAAAGCGACGUGCUGGAUCUCAACUGACGCUGAGGCACGAAAGCCAGGGUAGCGAACGGG
rnacentral:misc_RNA from 1 species